rnacentral:misc_RNA from 1 species
GAUGAAGAACGUAGCGAAAUGCGAUAAGUAGUGUGAAUUGCAGAAUUCAGUGAAUCAUCGAAUCUUUGAACGCACAUUGCGCCCCUUGAUAUCCCGAGGGGCAUGCCUGUUCGAGCGUCAUUUCACCACUCAAGCCUGGCUUGGUGUUGGGCGACGUCCUCUUUGGGGACGCGCCUCGAAACGCUCGGCGGCGUGGCACCGGCUUUAAGCGUAGCAGAAUCUUUCGCUUUGGAAGUCGGGGCCCCGUCUGCCGGAAGACCUGCUCGCAAGGUUGACCUCGGAUCAGGCAGGGAUACCCGCUGAACUUAAGCAUAUCAAUAAGCGGAGGA